rnacentral:rRNA from 1 species
UACGUAGGGUGCGAGCGUUGUCCGGAAUUACUGGGCGUAAAGAGCUCGUAGGUGGUUUGUCGCGUUGUUCGUGAAAACUCACAGCUCAACUGUGGGCGUGCGGGCGAUACGGGCAGACUGGAGUACUGCAGGGGAGACUGGAAUUCCUGGUGUAGCGGUGAAAUGCGUAGAUAUCAGGAGGAACACCGGUGGCGAAGGCGGCUCUCUGGACGGUGACUGACGCUGAGACGCGAAAGCGUGGGGAGCAAACAGG